rnacentral:misc_RNA from 1 species
GAUGAAGAACGUAGCGAAAUGCGAUACGUAAUGUGAAUUGCAGAAUUCAGUGAAUCAUCGAAUCUUUGAACGCAUAUUGCGCUCUCUGGUAUUCCGGAGAGCAUGCUUGUUUGAGUAUCAGUAAACACCUCAACUUCCAUAUCUUUUUUGUAAUGGGAGUUGGACUUGAGUGAUCCCAACGCUUUUCCUCACCGAAAAGUGGCGGGUUACUUGAAAUGCAGGUGCAGCUGGACUUUUCUCUGAGCUAUAAGCAUAUCUAUUUAGUCUGCCUAAAAAACAGAUUAUUACCUUUGCUGCAGCUAACAUAAAGGAGAUUAGUUCUUGUGCUGACUGAUGCAGGAUUCACAAAGACAGGCUUCGGCCGACUUUGUAAACUCGAUCUCAAAUCAAGUAAGACUACCCGCUGAACUUAAGCAUAUCAAUAAGCGGAGGA